UGGGGAAUCUUGGACAAUGGGCGAAAGCCUGAUCCAGCCAUGCCGCGUGAAUGAUGAAGGCCCUAGGGUUGUAAAAUUCUUUCGACGGGGAAGAUAAUGACGGUACCCGUAGAAGAAGCUCCGGCUAACUUCGUGCCAGCAGCCGCGGUAAUACGAAGGGGGCUAGCGUUGUUCGGAAUUACUGGGCGUAAAGCGCACGUAGGCGGAUCGAUAAGUAAGGGGUGAAAUCCCAGAGCUCAACUCUGGAACUGCCUUUUAAACUGUCGAUCUGGAGCAGAGUAGAGGUGAGUGGAAUUCCGAGUGUAGAGGUGAAAUUCGUAGAUAUUCGGAGGAACACCAGUGGCGAAGGCGGCUCACUGGACUCUUGCUGACGCUGAGGUGCGAAAGCGUGGGGAGCAAA
rnacentral:rRNA from 1 species